GUCCUUUAGAAAUUUAUUUAAGGUCUAAUCUGCCCAGUGAUUAAUUAAAUGGCCGCAGUAAUUUGACUGUGCGAAGGUAGCAUAAUCAUUAGUUUUUUAAUUGAAAGCUUGUAUGAAUGAUUGGACGAGAAAAAUACUGUCUCUUAUUAAUUUAUAGAAUUUUAUUUUUUAGUUAAAAAGCUAAAAUUUUAUUAAAAGACGAGAAGACCCUAUAAAGCUUUAUAUUUAUUAAAUUUAUUAAAUUUUGGUAUUUUUUAUUUUUUAAUUUUAUAUAAUAUUGGGUUGGGGAAAUUUAAAGAUUAAAGUAAUUCUUUAUUUUUAUACAUAUAUAUAUGUUUAUUUGAUCCUUUAUUAAAGAUUUAAGAUUAAGUUACUUUAGGGAUAACAGCGUAAUUUUUUUGGAGAGUUCAUAUCGAUAAAAAAGUUUGCGACCUCGAUGUUGGAUUAAAAUUAAUUUUGGGUGUAGUAUUUCACAAAAUUUGGUCUGUUCGACCAUUAAAAUUUUACA
rnacentral:rRNA from 1 species